ACCGCCAGCUACAGCCUCACUAGUAGUUUGUUCGAGCGCUACACAGACCAGCUUGCUCUCGCGGUGACGAGCGGCGGACGGGUGAGUAAUGUCUGGGAAACUGCCUGAUGGAGGGGGAUAACUACUGGAAACGGUAGCUAAUACCGCAUAACGUCGCAAGACCAAAGAGGGGGACCUUCGGGCCUCUUGCCAUCAGAUGUGCCCAGAUGGGAUUAGCUAGUAGGUGGGGUAACGGCUCACCUAGGCGACGAUCCCUAGCUGGUCUGACAGGAUGACCAGCCACACUGGAACUGAGACACGGUCCAGACUCCUACGGGAGGCAGCAGUGGGGAAUAUUGCACAAUGGGCGCAAGCCUGAUGCACCCAUGCCGCGUGUAUGAAGAAGGCCUUCGGGUUGUAAAGUACUUUCAGCGGGGAGGAAGGUGUUGAGGUUAAUACCCUC
rnacentral:rRNA from 1 species